rnacentral:sRNA from 1 species
UUUUUUCCAAAAUAAUUAAUUUUACUUUAAAUUCUUAAUUUAAAUUGUCAAUUACAUUAUCAAUCAAAUUUAAUCCAAACAAACUUCACAUUAAUCCCUUAAAAUUAGCAUAAACGUAUUUGUUAGCAAUAUUUUAAAACAAAGUUUUUUGUUUAAAUAAAUAUUAUUCUUACUAAACGUUUUUUUGUCUAAAUAAAUAAACCCUGUAUUUGAACUUAUUUACAAUGUCAUGCUAUUGGCAUUAAUUAUUUAGAAAUUAAAAUAUUUAAUUAACGAUUUAAAUCUUCUAAAUCUUUGCUUUUAGAGUUAUUAUGUCAUUACCUAAAAGGCAAAAAAUAUAUAUAUUUUU